rnacentral:rRNA from 1 species
UGGGGAAUAUUGGACAAUGGGCGAAAGCCUGAUCCAGCCAUGCCGCGUGAGUGAUGAAGGCCCUAGGGUUGUAAAGCUCUUUCAACGGUGAAGAUAAUGACGGUAACCGUAGAAGAAGCCCCGGUUAACUUCGUGCCAGCAGCCGCGGUAAUACGAAGGGGGCUAGCGUUGUUCGGAAUUACUGGGCGUAAAGCGCACGUAGGCGGAUUGUUAAGUCGGGGGUGAAAUCCCGGGGCUCGACCCCGGAACUGCCUUCGAUACUGGCAAUCUAGAGUCCGGAAGAGGUGAGUGGAAUUCCGAGUGUAGAGGUGAAAUUCGUAGAUAUUCGGAGGAACACCAGUGGCGAAGGCGGCUCACUGGUCCGGUACUGACGCUGAGGUGCGAAAGCGUGGGGAGCAAACA